CCUACGUGCUGCAGCAGUGGGGAAUAUUGGACAAUGGGCGAAAGCCUGAUCCAGCCAUGCCGCGUGUGUGAAGAAGGCCUUCGGGUUGUAAAGCACUUUCAGUGGGGAAGAAAGCCUUGGGGCUAAUACCCUCGAGGAAGGACAUCACCCACAGAAGAAGCACCGGCUAACUCCGUGCCAGCAGCCGCGGUAAUACGGAGGGUGCGAGCGUUAAUCGGAAUUACUGGGCGUAAAGCGCGCGUAGGCGGUCUGAUAAGCCGGUUGUGAAAGCCCCGGGCUCAACCUGGGAACGGCAUCCGGAACUGUCAGGCUAGAGUGCAGGAGAGGAAGGUAGAAUUCCCGGUGUAGCGGUGAAAUGCGUAGAGAUCGGGAGGAAUACCAGUGGCGAAGGCGGCCUUCUGGACUGACACUGACGCUGAGGUGCGAAAGCGUGGGUAGCAAACAGGAUUAGAUACCCCGGUAGUC
rnacentral:rRNA from 1 species